rnacentral:rRNA from 1 species
GGUCAAGUGAAGAAGCGCAUACGGUGGAUGCCUUGGCAGUCAGAGGCGAUGAAAGACGUGGUAGCCUGCGAAAAGCUUCGGGGAGUCGGCAAACAGACUUUGAUCCGGAGAUCUCUGAAUGGGGGAACCCACCUAGGAUAACCUAGGUAUCUUGUACUGAAUCCAUAGGUGCAAGAGGCGAACCAGGGGAACUGAAACAUCUAAGUACCCUGAGGAAAAGAAAUCAACCGAGAUUCCCUUAGUAGUGGCGAGCGAACGGGGAUUAGCCCUUAAGCUUCAUUGAUUUUAGCGGAACGCUCUGGAAAGUGCGGCCAUAGUGGGUGAUAGCCCCGUACGCGAAAGGAUCUUUGAAGUGAAAUCGAGUAGGACGGAGCACGAGAAACUUUGUCUGAACAUGGGGGGACCAUCCUCCAAGGCUAAAUACUACUGACUGACCGAUAGUGAACCAGUACCGUGAGGGAAAGGCGAAAAGAACCCCGGAGAGGGGAGUGAAAUAGAACCUGAAACCGUAUGCGUACAAGCAGUGGGAGCCUACUUGUUAGGUGACUGCGUACCUUUUGUAUAAUGGGUCAGCGACUUAUAUUCAGUGGCAAGCUUAACCGUAUAGGGUAGGCGUAGCGAAAGCGAGUCUUAAUAGGGCGUUUAGUCGCUGGGUAUAGACCCGAAACCGGGCGAUCUAUCCAUGAGCAGGUUGAAGGUUAGGUAACACUGACUGGAGGACCGAACCCACUCCCGUUGAAAAGGUAGGGGAUGACUUGUGGAUCGGAGUGAAAGGCUAAUCAAGCUCGGAGAUAGCUGGUUCUCCUCGAAAGCUAUUUAGGUAGCGCCUCAUGUAUCACUCUGGGGGGUAGAGCACUGUUUCGGCUAGGGGGUCAUCCCGACUUACCAAACCGAUGCAAACUCCGAAUACCCAGAAGUGCCGAGCAUGGGAGACACACGGCGGGUGCUAACGUCCGUCGUGAAAAGGGAAACAACCCAGACCGCCAGCUAAGGUCCCAAAGUUGUGGUUAAGUGGUAAACGAUGUGGGAAGGCUUAGACAGCUAGGAGGUUGGCUUAGAAGCAGCCACCCUUUAAAGAAAGCGUAAUAGCUCACUAGUCGAGUCGGCCUGCGCGGAAGAUGUAACGGGGCUCAAACCACACACCGAAGCUGCGGGUGUCACGUAAGUGACGCGGUAGAGGAGCGUUCUGUAAGCCUGUGAAGGUGAGUUGAGAAGCUUGCUGGAGGUAUCAGAAGUGCGAAUGCUGACAUGAGUAACGACAAUGGGUGUGAAAAACACCCACGCCGAAAGACCAAGGGUUCCUGCGCAACGUUAAUCGACGCAGGGUUAGUCGGUUCCUAAGGCGAGGCUGAAAAGCGUAGUCGAUGGGAAACAGGUUAAUAUUCCUGUACUUCUGGUUACUGCGAUGGAGGGACGGAGAAGGCUAGGCCAGCUUGGCGUUGGUUGUCCAAGUUUAAGGUGGUAGGCUGAAAUCUUAGGUAAAUCCGGGGUUUCAAGGCCGAGAGCUGAUGACGAGUCGUCUUUUAGAUGACGAAGUGGUUGAUGCCAUGCUUCCAAGAAAAGCUUCUAAGCUUCAGGUAACCAGGAACCGUACCCCAAACCGACACAGGUGGUCGGGUAGAGAAUACCAAGGCGCUUGAGAGAACUCGGGUGAAGGAACUAGGCAAAAUGGCACCGUAACUUCGGGAGAAGGUGCGCCGGCUAGGGUGAAGGAUUUACUCCGUAAGCUCUGGCUGGUCGAAGAUACCAGGCCGCUGCGACUGUUUAUUAAAAACACAGCACUCUGCAAACACGAAAGUGGACGUAUAGGGUGUGACGCCUGCCCGGUGCCGGAAGGUUAAUUGAUGGGGUUAGCGCAAGCGAAGCUCUUGAUCGAAGCCCCGGUAAACGGCGGCCGUAACUAUAACGGUCCUAAGGUAGCGAAAUUCCUUGUCGGGUAAGUUCCGACCUGCACGAAUGGCGUAACGAUGGCGGCGCUGUCUCCACCCGAGACUCAGUGAAAUUGAAAUCGCUGUGAAGAUGCAGUGUAUCCGCGGCUAGACGGAAAGACCCCGUGAACCUUUACUGUAGCUUUGCACUGGACUUUGAGCCUGCUUGUGUAGGAUAGGUGGGAGGCUUUGAAGCGUGGACGCCAGUUCGCGUGGAGCCAUCC